ACAAGCGGUGGAGCAUGUGGUUAAUUUCGAAGCAACGCGAAGAACUUACCAGGCCUUGACAUGCAGAGAACUUUCCAGAGAUGGAUUGUGCCUUCGGGAACUCUGACACAGGUGCUGCAUGGCUGUCGUCAGCUCGUAUCGUGAGAUGUUGGGUUAAGUCCCGUAACGAGCGCAACCCUUGUCCUUAGUUACCAGCACGUUAUGGUGGGCACUCUAAGGAGACUGCCGGUGACAAACCGGAGGAAGGUGGGGAUGACGUCAAGUCAUCAUGGCCCUUACGGCCUGGGCUACACACGUGCUACAAUGGUCGGUACAAAGGGUUGCCAAGCCGCGAGGUGGAGCUAAUCCCAUAAAACCGAUCGUAGUCCGGAUCGCAGUCUGCAACUCGACUGCGUGAAGUCGGAAUCGCUAGUAAUCGUGAAUCAGAAUGUCACGGUGAAUACGUUCCCGGGCCUU
rnacentral:rRNA from 1 species